rnacentral:rRNA from 1 species
CACAGAGUUUGCCGGUGCUUCCUCCUCCGGUACCAUCACGCUACCUGAACUUUCCCCAGAUAGCCGUUUUUCCCGGAUGACAGAGCUUUACAACCCGAAGGCCUUCCUCACUCACGCGGCGUGGCUGCGUCAGACUUUCGUCCAUUGCGCAAUAUUCCCUACUGCUGCCUCCCGUAGGAGUCUGGACCGUGUUUCAGUUCCAGUGUGCCUGAUCAUCCUCUCAGACCAGGUACCCAUCAUCGUCUUGGUAAGCUGUUACCUCACCAACUAACUAAUGGGACGCAGACUCAUCCAUCGGCGAUAGCUUGCGCCAUCUUUCCUCGCAAGAGCUUCACGCUCCCGAGAGCUUACUCGGCAUUAGCCCGUCUUUCGACAGGUUAUUCCAAUCCAAAGGGUAGAUUAUCCACGUGUUACUCACCCGUGCGCCGCUUUACUCAUCCUUGCGGACUUUCGCGCUCGACUUGCAUGUAUGAGGCCCGCCGCCAGCGUUCG